rnacentral:lncRNA from 1 species
UCAAAUAUUUCAAAAUUUGACACUAUCCCAAAAACGGAACUUCUACAAUGCUUUUCGACACCAUCGCUCCCGUGGAUCUAUGGACUCUGGCUGUGACUUCCUUGAUAAUGGAAACUGAAGUUUACUUUCUCUAAACCAUGUUCCAUGUAUCCCAUUUAUGAUAUGCAUAUAGAUAUAUGAUUCUUCUUUUGCUUUACUGUGCAAUGUAGAGAUAGAGUGUACAGUAUAUGUUGGUGAUUAUGAUAUUUGAACCCCAAAUUCCCAAAACCAUGUAGCUUAAUGUUUAAAAUUCAAAUCAGUGUUUGAGUUUCAUUAAAGAUGAUACAGACAUUAAGUGCUCCCAUUACUGUGCCACAACUAUGCAGGAUAAUCAACUGUCUUAACAGUAGUGUUGGAGGUCUGCAUUAAUGCUUAUACAAUAUACAUUGAACUAAUAGUACAGCAAUCUUAACAGGCUUUUUGCAAUAACUGACAGACAGUGAAAAAAAAAAAAAAAAAUGGUGGGAGGGAGAUUUAUGCACAAGCAUAUAGUGUAUAUUUUUUCACUAGGUAAUGCUAAGCAUUUAUUGAAAAUUAUUAUUUUGUAAGUCUAAUUUGUAUUUGUUUCAUAUAUAUAUAUAUAUGGAUAUAUUUGAUAAAGAGCUUUAAGUAUGUCACAUUAUUAGAAAACUAUUGGUAAUUGAUCAUGUUUCUAUUGUAUUUUCUUGUUACUGCAUGUUUAAAAGAGCUAUCAGAUUUUACCACAUUGUUAUUAUGCCUAUUUGUCAUUGUAAUUGUAUGAAAUUUAGUGCUUAUUGUAUUAUAUAGAAAAUAUAGAAAAUUUUCAUAAAAUGACUAUAUGUUAUCAAAAAUAUUCCAAUACUAUGUUCAUCUGCCAUGUUAGCACUGAAUAAAUUGAUAAACA